UACGUAGGUCCCGAGCGUUGUCCGGAUUUAUUGGGCGUAAAGCGAGCGCAGGUGGUUUGUUAAGUCUGGUGUAAAAGGCAGUGGCUCAACCAUUGUAUGCAUUGGAAACUGGUAGACUUGAGUGCAGGAGAGGAGAGUGGAAUUCCAUGUGUAGCGGUGAAAUGCGUAGAUAUAUGGAGGAACACCGGUGGCGAAAGCGGCUCUCUGGCCUGUAACUGACACUGAGGCUCGAAAGCGUGGGGAGCAAACAGG
rnacentral:rRNA from 1 species